CUUGAAUGGGAGGGCAGCUAUUUCAAACCAUAAAGAUGAGGGCUGUCCCCUAGGGAUGGUAGAACUAAGAGCCAGAAAAGACUAAGUUCUCGAUAAUCAUUUGGAACUGCAAUAGUGGUCCUGGACUACCUAUCUCUAGACUUCUUUUACAUAGGGAGAAAUAUACUUCUCUGUGAAGCCACAACCUUUUAGGAUUUUCUGUCACUUGCAGGUGAAUAUAAAUCUGUUGGAUACAAUAUUGUGUGCAUGGUAGGUGGGCCGUCAGUGGUGAGCCGGGGCUGCCAUUCAGGGAAGAGGGAUACAUGGGACCACGGGGGCUGCAACUUGCAACUGUGGAGAGAAGCAGUUACGUGGCAUGUUAUGGAUUGAACUGUGCCCCCAAAAUUCACAUGUUGAAAUCCUAACCCAAGCACCUCAGAAUGUGACCGUAUUCGGAGGCACAGCCUGUAAAGAAGGGGCCUAAGGUGAAAAGAUGUCAUUGGGGGGGCCCUACUCCUAUAGGACUGGUAUCCUUAUAGGAAGAGGAGGUGAGGACACAGACACACACAGAAAGAAGACCAUGUGAAAACACAGGGAGAAGGUGGCAUCUGUAUGCCAAGAACAGAGGCCUCAGAGGAAACCAACCCUGUGACACCUGGAUCUUGGACUUCCAGCCCCUGGAACUGUGAGAAAAUGAAGUUCUGGUGUUGAAGGCACCCAGGCUGUGGAACUUUGUUAUGGCAGCCCUAGCAGACUAAUAUAUGGCACAAGGAGAGGACCGUGGUGCCAAGAAAAAUGUGCCUGUCACUUCUCCAGCUGACGUGCCCUGGCUACCAUGCUCUGAAAUCUACCCUGGAACUCUGCGUGUGUGAGGCCAGGCUUCCCACAGGCUGCUCCCAGCCAGGGAAGAGUACAGCAGGGAUACUGAGGCAGGCCUGUUCCCUAGAGCCCGCAACUUUGGCUCUCCAUCAGCUUGGCUGAAACUGUACUGCAGCGUCAGACUCUUCCUACCCAACCUUCCUCCCUUCCCUCUCCUGCACGAGGCCACCAGGCUGCUGCCUGGUCUCCUGGCUCUCCCAACCUCCUCUAGUUCCCUCUUCACUUUCUCUUACAACUUUUUCCCUAAAGACAUCUCUUGCAGGUUCAAUCUACCCUCUGAGUCUGCUUCUUAGAAGACCUGGGCUAAUGGACUUAGUGAGUUAGUCCUCCCUACUUGCACCCAUUUCACAGAUGAGGAAGUUGGGGCCCAGUUUACAGAAUUUUAUCGGAGCCACCCCUCUCUGACUGCACACACCCACCAAGAUAAGAAGCACUUUUACAGGCGGGCUCUGUUUGCUCAAACUGUAUUUUAUAAUUAUUACUAUGAAAAAAGAAGAGUGUCUUUGAGAAUUUACCUUUAGAUAGCAAAUUCCUAUACCCCUUCUCCGAUUUACUCACCCCUUGGUACUUAUUUCUAACAUUCUAUAAUAUUUUACUUGUUUAUCUUUAUUGUCUGACACAUUGCUACUGAGGGAAUGAGUGAAUUACCUCAAAAUGUACCAUCAUCCUCACUGCUCACAAAGUUGGAUAGCAAAGGUCAGUGAAAAUUUCCCCCAGCUUGGCAUUUACGUUGCUUCAUUUAAGUGAUUGUUCACUUCUCUGUGAGCACUUCUACAUUGGAAGCUCCGUGAGAGCAGAUUAGAAUGAAUGAAUGAAUGAAUGACCUGGAAUCACCCUGGGUUGUGUCUGGAUCGUUUGGGUGGGACUCUGUGAGCCUUGUCCUCCUCAUUCUGCUCCUAUUGCUAAUUGUAGAGAGGUGGUAGCAGCUCUCCAGACUGAAAAGGAUCUGGAUGGUUUCAGUGAUGGAGGCAGCAGAUUAUCUGGGCUGAGCUCAAAGUCCCAUGCAAAUGAAGGUGAGUAAGAACCUAGGUAAGAACCAUGUGUUCAGCGGAGCAAUCGUCCAGCUCAGCCAUUAGGAUGGGAUCAGGACAUCAUUAUAUUAAAAAAAAAAAAAAAAAAAGAAAGAAAAGAAAAAUCCUGGAAGGACUCCCUAGCCCACACCACUCAGGGAAGCAGUGCACGAGGCUUCAGUUGAUGAUUUAAACAGCAGGGCUCUUGUGCUGGGGAAAUAGUCCUGGAGGUGGGAGCUAGAGUUGAGGCAAGGCUGGGAAGGAGGGAGGUGAGAAUAUCCCCAGAAAGUAGAUAGGGGCUCAGACUUGUGGCGUUGGGGCAGGGGGCCCCGCUGACCAGGGCUGGGCCCACCCGUGAUGAAGGAGAUAAAGUGACCCAGUGCUGCAUGUGUGAGUGGCAGCCGCAGCGAUGAAGGAGACAAAGUGACCCAGUGCUGCAUGUGUGAGUGGCAGCCGCCCCAGGACUGUGUCUGCAGGGGAAUCCCUUCCUGUUCCUGCUCUUGCUCAAAGGCAUGGGGCUGGAUCAGCGCCUUGUGGAGUUUGUGGAGUUUGGGCCUCUGUCUCAAAUGUUACUGAACAACCAACUUAGCUUCGGCUGCAUGUGGGUGCUUGGUGACAUUUACUUUUUGUUUGUUUGUCUUUUUGAGAUGAAGUCUCACUUUGUUGCCCGGGCUGGAGUGCAGUGAUACAAUUUCGGCUCACUGUAACCUCCGCCACCCGGAUUCAAGCGAUUCUCCUGUCUUAGCCUCCCGAGUAGCUGGGAUUACAGGCACCCGUCACCAUGCCCAGCUAAUUUUUGUAUUUCUAGUAGGGACGGGGUUUCACCAUGUCGUCCAGGCAGGUCUCGAAUUCCUGACCUCAGGCGAUCUGCCUGCCUCGGCCUCCCAAAGUGCUGGGAUUACAGGCGUGGGGCACCGAGCCCGGUCUGACAUUGACUUUUUGAAGUCAAAGUAUGACAAGUUUGCAGCAUUAGCUUUCAGUGAGAUCCCGCAGGACCAAGGUCAUAUGGAAACUUCUGCCAAAGUAAACCCCUUUCGCCUUCUUCAAAUUCUUUACAAAAAAAAAAAAAGCUUAAUUUCAGGUUAAAAAAGUACAUGUUAUUAUUAUUAUUAUUUAAAGAGACAGAGUCUCGCUGUCUAGCCCAGGCUAGAGUGCAGUGGUGUGAGCAUAGCUCACUGCAGCCUCCAACUCCUGGGCUCAAGCAAUCCUCCUGCCACAGCCUCCUGAGUAGCUGGGACUACAGGUGCACGCUGCCUUGCCUGGUUAAAAAAUACAUGUUAAUGUUGACAGACUUUAUACUUAAUAUUUUUAGAUGGGAUGACUUAAGAGGCAUAAAAAGAAAAUUAAUCCCUUCCUUCCUUCCUUCCCUCCCUCCCUCCCUCCCUCCUUGCCUUCCUUCUAUUGAAUGUGUAAUAGGUAGGCUAUCCAGAGACAGGCGGAGCCAGUGGCCUAUCUUUAAGAAGGAAAACAUGGAAGGGGUAGAGAAGUUAAAGCACUCACCGAAGAUUUUUCCAGCUAUUACGUGAGUGGCCACCCCAGUUCUGUCCAACACUGCAGCCACUGGCCAUGCCGGGCUCUCAAGCACCUGAAAUGUGCCUUGUCAUAAUCAAGAUACGCUGUCAUUGUAACAAACACACUGGAUUUUGAGGAUUUAGAGUGAAAAGGAAUGCAAAAUUGCCCAUUAACAAUUGUUUUACUAUUAACUAUAUGUUCAAAUGCUAUUUUGGUUACACUGAGGUAAAUAAAAUAUAUUGUUGAUAUUAA
rnacentral:lncRNA from 1 species